UACGGAGGAUCCGAGCGUUAUCCGGAUUUAUUGGGUGUAAAGGGCGCGUAGAUGGUAUAGCAAGUUAGUUGUGAAAUCCCUGGGCUCAACUUAGGAACUGCAACUAAAACUGUUUAACUUGAGUAUGGGAGAGGAAAGCGGAAUUCCUAGUGUAGCGGUGAAAUGCGUAGAUAUUAGGAAGAACACCAGUGGCGAAGGCGGCUUCCUGGACCAAAACUGACGUUGAGGCGCGAAAGUGUGGGGAGCAAAC
rnacentral:rRNA from 1 species